ACCUGCCCACUGAAAUUUUGAAUGGCCGCAGUAAUUUGACUGUGCAAAGGUAGCAUAAUCAUUAGUUUUUUAAUUAAAAGCUUGUAUGAAGGGUUGGACGAGGUAAAAACUGUCUCUAUUUAAUUUAAAAUAGAAUUUAAUUUUUAAGUUAAAAAGCUUAAAUAUUUUUAAAAGACGAGAAGACCCUAUAGAUCUUUAUAAUAUUUUUUUUAAUUUUAUUAAAGAAUUUUUUAUUAAUUAAUAAAAGUAUUAUUUUAUUGGGGUAAUAAAAAGAUUGAAAAAAUUCUUUUUUUUAUUAAACAUUAAUAAAUGAUUUUAUGAUCCAGUAAUAUUGAUUAAAAGAUUAAGUUACCUUAGGGAUAACAGCGUAAUUUUUUUAAAGAGUUCAUAUCGAUAAAAAAGUUUGCGACCUCGAUGUUGGAUUAAAAAUUAUCUUAGGUGCAGAAGUUUAAGAUUUUGGUCUGUUCGACCAUUAAAUUUUU
rnacentral:rRNA from 1 species